AUGAACUUGUGCAUCGCUGUGCUCCUGCUCCUUCAUUCCUUGACGGGGAAGGCAGAGGUCCAAGAUGACAUGGAGGAGAUCGCACAGGAUUUAUAUGACUACAUGGCACAUUUAAGCAAUUACUAUUAUUCCACAGAAGAUUAUUACUAUGACAACAUCACGGCAACCCCUGCCACAUACAUGUAUGAGUUGGAUACAUAUGAGACAAGCACCACUGGAGAGGUGGACUGGGAGAAGUGGUUUCCAGAAGAGAAUGCCACCACCAUGAUUUCAAGAUUACCAGACACAAAUGCUCCAGGGGAUUCCAGGGAUGUUGACAACAGUCAGGAUUCCCAGCAAUCAUUGGGACCAUCCCUGCAGGGCCACCUCACCCUCAUCAUCCUCCUCAGCUUCCUGAGUCUCCUGCUAUGACCCCCAGACUCCUCUUCCAAAGACACGGUGGCUGGGGCGGUGAGCAGGACACUGUCAGGUGUUGACAAUGACAUCCUCUCCACGAGGCGUCGUCUCUGUUCUGGAACUGCGAGGUUUUGUGUCUGAGGUUUUGGUGGAGGGACGGUGCCGCCCCACGGUGCGAGCAUGGACAGCUCUGCAAUGCUUCAGUCCCUUCUUGUUUCCUCAGACUCUGCUGUAAAUAACAACCUCUGUCAAUAAAAUCCCCAACACCUGGUGCA
rnacentral:lncRNA from 1 species